rnacentral:lncRNA from 1 species
CUCUAGCUGGAGAUCACUCCUCUUGGAGCCCUCCCAGGAGCCCAGGAUGUGGGUAUGUCUACACAAUGCAAAGUUACCAAAGUGUCUUAGACAUCAUGGAACAAGCUGAUAAUCCUACCUGGUCCUGUAUUGUGAGGGGAUCUCCAUGUAGCAUCACAUCUGAGCUAAUUAAUGCUGCCCUUCCUCCAGGCUAACCGGUGUUGAUAUGACUUUGCUGCUUAUACACCAAAUGAGAGACACGUGGCAUUAGCUUCAGUUUAUGCUUUGCCACCUUCUGUUUUCCACUACAUGCAGUAGAGUUUCAUGUAAAAUGAAAAUAUUUCACAAUUUAGAACCUAACUCUAUGUAACUGAUGAAGAGGUAUAUUUUUGGUGGACAAAAACAAGUUUAAAGCAUCAGCGAUGAUUUUACAUAUUACUAUUGUAUAUUUAUUUCUGUAUUUAUACAUACAUAAGAAACAGAAGCAUUUUCCCACACUUCUCUGGUUCUAAUUUAUUUUUAAUCUCAAUGCUGUAAUUCAUUUGGUCAGUGAAUUUAUACUAAAAUUGUAUCUCACAUUCUUCUUCCUUUAUUUUGCUUUAUUAUUCUUCCUAUUUACGGAAUUUACUUUCAGGUUAUUUGAAUCCUUCCCCAGUUAAUCCUGAUCUUUCAUUUUCUCUCACAUUGCUUCAACAAACUGUCUUAGCCAUUUUUUCUCUCUUUCUCUCUCUCUCUCUCUCUCUCUCUCUCUUUAUUCAUUUAUUUAUUACUAUUUUAGUAAUAUUAUUACCAUUUUUUUUUUUACUGCUAAUUUUAAUCUAUAUUUUGAGCCCAGGAAAGAUUUCUCCUGAGUACCAGCAAAAAUGGUAUUAUGAAUAUUCAUAGAUUGCUGUAAUCUUUGAGUUUUAAAAUAGAAAUUACUAUUGUCAUACCAAUGCUUGUUCUAUCUAUUAUAAAAUAUUCAAUUGUGCCUAUAGUUGACCUUAAAUAUCUAGGGGACUUAGCUCUACUUUUUUAAUUCUUUCGCAAGACUAAUUUAUUAAUUAUUACUUGCCAUAAAAAGACUUUGCAAUUUAGUGCUUUAAUGGCUUUUUUCUUCUUUGAGAUUUUGAGAUAGAUAAUAUCCUAGUGGGAAAAAAAUAUAUAUCUUUUUGUGAAUCAGAACCAGAAUGGCCAUUCAUUGCUUAAUUCAUGUGACAGUUUUGUUCAUCAAUUUCGAACACCAUCAAUAAAUAGAAGUAAUGUCUUU